rnacentral:rRNA from 1 species
GACGAACGCUGGCGGCGUGCUUAACACAUGCAAGUCGAACGGUAAGGCCCUUCGGGGUACACGAGUGGCGAACGGGUGAGUAACACGUGGGUGAUCUGCCCUGCACUUCGGGAUAAGCCUGGGAAACUGGGUCUAAUACCGGAUAGGACUCCGGACUGCAUGGUCUGGGGUGGAAAGCUUUUGCGGUGUGGGAUGGGCCCGCGGCCUAUCAGCUUGUUGGUGGGGUGAUGGCCUACCAAGGCGACGACGGGUAGCCGGCCUGAGAGGGUGACCGGCCACACUGGGACUGAGCUACGGCCCAGACUCCUACGGGAGGCAGCAGUGGGGAAUAUUGCACGAUGGGCGCAAGCCUGAUGCAGCGACGCCGCGUGAGGGAUGACGGCCUUCGGGUUGUAAACCUCUUUUAGCAGGGAAGAAGCGAGAGUGACGGUACCUGCAGAAAAAGCACCGGCUAACUACGUGCCAGCCGCCGCGGUAA